UAAAGGAAAGUCGUGCCUCACUAAUCUUACAUCCUUUUACAAUAGAGUAUAUGAGGCAGCUGACAAUGAUGAGAGCUAUGAUGUGGUUUAUCUUGAUUUUAGUAAGGCCUUCGAUAAGGUACCUCACCAGAGACUGUUAAAUAAAGUCAGGGCUCAUGGGAUAAGAGGGAAGGUAUUUGAUUGGAUUAAGGCGUGGAUUAGCGACAGGAAACAGAGGGUUACCAUUAACGGUAAAAAAUCCGAAUGGGGUAAUGUUACCAGUGGGGUUCCUCAAGGUUCAGUUUUUGGCCCGCUUUUAUUCAUUAUCUACAUCAAUGACAUAAACAAUGGGAUAACUAUAGUGAUAUAGGUAAAUUUGCAGAUGACACCAAAAUAGGACGCACUAUUAGGACAGGCCGGGGAGGAUGCUAGAGCACUGCAGGAGGAUCUCAACAAACUGUCAGCUUGGUCAGAGAAAUGGCAUUUGAAUUUUAACAUCACCAAGUGUAGCGUACUUAGGGUAGGAACACGCAACCCAUUACACGGGUAUAGUUUAGGCUCCACAGCGAUAGGCAGGUCUGAGUGUGAAAGGGAUUUGGGAGUGUUAGUGAACUCUGACCUAAAACUAAGGAAGCAAUGUAUUAGUGCGAGGAAUAGGGCUAACAGGGUAUUAGGCUUUAUUAACAGGACGGUAACCAAUAGGAGUGCAGAGGUCAUCCUCAGACUCUAUUUAGCGUUAGUUAGGCCACACUUAGAUUAUGCUGUCCAGUUUUGGUGCCCACACUACAGAAUGGACAUCAACUUGCUAGAAUCAGUUCAGAGGAGGAUGACCAAGAUGAUUCAGGGGCUGAGGAACCUCCCAUAUCAAAAUAGGCUGAAACAUCUAAACUUAUACAUUCAUUAGAGAGACGAAGAGUGCGGGGAGAUCUGAUAGAAAUAUUCCAAAUGGGUCAAGGGUUACUACAAAGGCGAUAUAAGUAAACUACUGAGAAUUAGCCAGCAGGAUAGAACUCGCAGUAAUGGAUUUAAAUUAGAAAAGUAUAGAUUUAGGAGAGAUAUAGGCAAGCAUUGGUUUAGUAAUAGGGUGGUGGGGGAAUGGAAUAGACUCAGCAAUCACAUAGUUAGUGCAGGGACGAUAGCUUGUUUUAAGAGUAGACUGGAUAGCUACAUGGACGAGGACGACAGGUGGCAAUGAGGUGUGGGUGCAGUAAGGUGACGGGGUACUGGAUGCGUGCCUAGUACCGCCGGUAUAACGAGGAUCAAGACCUGGUAACCCCUGUUACUACACCUCACCCAUCCAGGAAUACAGAACAUGGAAGAGCCGGGCAGAGUAACACGUGACACAGCGGAGAUAUACCACACCUUGGAAGAGCCUUGACUAACUAACCAACCAACUGACUGACUGACUGACUGGUGGAGCGCCUCUCUUCCGCUCACCCAUCUACGAGAGGUCGAGAUAUAGGUUUAAAGAGACGCUACCCCAAGGUCAAGUAUACAAAAUUUCUAGCUGAGGUCAUGACAAGAUUUACCAUAAAAACUUUUGUGUUAUGAUGUUAUUUGAACCUCCACUACAUAUGACAAAUUUACAGAGAGAAAUAGAUAUAAUGAAUGAUUAGAGAUUAUUAUGAUGUAUUGAAAUAGGUACAAUAAUUAGUCUGAAAGAAAGAGAUACAAUAAAUGAUUAGAAAAAUUAUUAUGAUUUAUUGAAAUUAGUAACUGAGUGCAAUGAUGAGUCUGAAAGAGAUAUUUACUUGGAGUGAGGUGUGUGUGUGUGUUAGUGUGUUAAGAUUUUAUGUCCCAAGAAGUGCAUUACGACACCAACCACCACAUACAACCAAUACAUAAUACAGCAAAGUGGAGGCCUGCAUACUAGGACCUUGGGAUAUCCUGUUCCCUCUUAACCUACAUCUCAUCACGCACCGCAGAGCUGACACACGCGCAGCCAUUCUCAUGAGAUCUAGCAUUGCGCAUUGUUUUCCAGUAUGAUAAUUAUUAAAAUCUUACAUGACGGCAGCGAGACCAUUCAUCUGCUAUGUUGGUUCAGCAGGUUUGUUACUGGUAUAUUUUGAUUAGCAUUUUUAUACACACAUUAAGAAAUAGCAAGCAGGUCAUGUCUUGUAUAUAUGUACACGUAUGCAUCACUCUGAUUAGAACUCGUAUCAUGAUAAAAUUGAUCGACUGAGGUAUAUGAUCAUGGUGGUAAAUCUACAAUGGUCAUAAGACACCAGAUAUUUAGGUAAGGGAAGGGAAGGGAAGGUAGUACUAGGUUAGGUAAGGGAAAGGAAAGGAGGGGGAGGGAAGGGAAUGGAAGGAAAGGGAAGGGAUGGGAUUGGAUGGGAUGGGAUGGGAAGGGAAGAUAAGGUCAAGUAAGGUAAGGUAAAGGAAGCAGCUCAAGGGCAAAAAACAAAGAAUAAAACAAAAAUUCUCACUAAGCACUGCUCCUAUAAGAGCCAACAAUGUGUGACCAGAAGAGAAAACUGGGAAACUUGGGAAAACUGAGCAAAGGUACAAAACUGAAGAGAAUAUAUAUCAGUCAGUCCUAACUUUGGUGAUACAACUCAAAUAUACACGUCAAUUAAAUUUUCAGAGUACAUAGCUAUUCUUGACAUGAGUAUUAAUUAGAGGAACACAUACGUACUGGCAAACAUGACCUAACCAAUUCUGUAUAUUCCAGGGUUGUGUCGGUAGUUUUGGGGGAUAGACAACCACGUAACAGAUGACUGGCCCAGCGUCUAGUGGUGAAGCAACGGUGUGAUAACGGUGAACAGAAUCAAGGGUCAUAAUGAGGAUAGAAAGCUCAUUAUAACACCGCUUGAUAAUCCACAUAGUCUUGUAUACAGCUUAAUGAUAUAAUGUAGUGUGUGUGUGGGUCCCAUCAACACACGAACACACACAAACACACACACACAAUCACAUAUAGCUUUACCCAUUUCUCUCAUGCUUUAGACAGAAAUCUUUACAAAGCUCACACACACACACACAUACACACACACACAAAAGCUGUAUUUAGUCCUAUCCAUUUCCUCUGAACUGUAGACACAAAUCUAUACAAAAUACAAAGUAAUGCACAAACAGGUAACAAUGAACUAAUACCUGUCCUGCCUUUGUAUAUUAGCUUUUAGGGUGGACACAGGUAAAAUAAUCAAGGUGUAUACAGGUGGACAUUUAUGUACGGUGAGCCUUUACUGGUUUUAAAUGACGGGCUGGAAAUGAGACUGGAAAAUAUACUGCUAAAAAGUCUUAUACUAUGGUUAAAAUUUGUAUACUUUGUCGUCUUCCUGUUAAUCUCUGUGUGGUAUUAUCAUACAUACUCAUUUAAAAGCCAAGUAUUUUCCGUGAGUUAUGAUUUUACGGGUUCAAUUUUUGCAUGACUAUUACGUACUCAGCUUGUCUGUGGCUUACUUUGUCAUCUACAUGUUAAUCAUACAUACUCAUUUGAAAGCCGAGUGUGUUUUGUGAGUUGUGAUUUCAGGGGUUCAAAUUUUGCCUGAAUAGUACUGAACUUUUCCAGGGCUUGAAUUCAUCCCUCAAUUAAAUAUAAACGUAUCCUUGGGGGGUGAACUUUGGCAUGGAUAUUACUUUUCAGAGGCAUAAGUUAUCCCUCAAUCUAACAUAAUCGUAUCCUUGUGGGGGGUGAAUUUUGGCAUGGAUAUUACUUUUCAGAGGCAUAAGUUAUCCCUCAAUCUAACAUAAUCGUAUCCUUGUGGGGGGUGAAUUUUGGCAUGGAUAUUACUUUUCAGAGGCAUAAGUUAUCCCUCAAUCAUAACUAUAUUCCUCGGAGUCGACUGUACAACCAAUUCUGUAUAUCCCAGGGUUGUGUUGGUAGUCUUGGGGGAUAGACAACCACGUAACAGAUGACUGGCCCGGCGUCUGGUGGUGAAGCAACAGUGUGAUAACGGUGAACAUAAUCAAGGGUCGUGAUGAGAGGAUAGAAAGCUCCUCAUAACACUACUUGAUAAUUCACAUAGUAAUACACAGGUUGUUCUCAUUUGUCAUUAUUUCUCCCAUGUACGUACGUGUUUCUUUAGCUACUCAGUCACAGUCAAGAUGGUUGGUUCUUCCUUAAAUGAUUAAACACCAGAAUAUUGAUAGAAAGCUCAUCAUAACACCGCUUGAUAAUUCACAUAGUAAUACACAGGUUGUUCUCAUUUGUCAUUAUUUCUCCCAUGUACGUACAAUAGUUUCUUUAGCUACUCAGUCACAGUCAAGAUGGUUGGUUCUUCCUUACUGAUUAAACACCAUUGACACUAAUACACUUCCUGCCUGGUAAAUAAUACAUACAUCCCCGUUUUGUGUGUGGGGCCUCGACUCUUACCCGAAAUCAACUUUUACAUGAAUAAUGAAUGUAAAUAUAUAUGAACCCUUAGACGGCAGCUGUAUUUGAAGAGUAGCUCCGCAAAAUUGAAUGGUCUAUAUAUAGUCACUGCCGACCUUAGACCGUAGCAUAAAUAGUUACGCUGCAUAAUAGAUGUUUUAACUAUUGUCUAUGUAUAGAUUCUACCGCAAUCUGGAAGUGUUGUUAUAUUUCUGGCAUACAAAACUGACUGACUGAAUUUUGGAUCGUCUGUACAUAGUUCCACCGCCGUCUAAGGAUUAAACUAUUCUUUAGAUAUAAUUUAGUCUGUUGAGCCAUGUUAGCACACUCCUGAUAUAUGGAUUGUUGAUUUAUUUGCUUUAUUACCUUAUUUUGAGCUGCUUCUACCUGCACACACACACACUCAUGGUGCAAGCUUAUUUAUGAAACUAAAACCACAGGUGUAACUUUGCUUCCUGAACCUUCCUACCAAAUAAACAACAACUGCAUAUCCAGCUCUGUAAUCCUUAUGAGAAAACAAUAACUCCAAAACAGCUUCUAUAACUGUGCAUGUAACUAAUAAAUAAUAAUAAUAGAAAAACAAAACAAUCUUACUAACAUCUCGACUAAUCUUACAUCCAUACAGGUAUAGAUAAUCACUUACGUAUAAUUAUAUACUGUUAUAAAUAGUUAAAAUAGAUAUGUAUAAACUUGCAAAUACCACCAUCAGUCUUGCUUACACUGCAUACUAGCACCCAGAUGAGAGAAAAAGAGAUAAAUAGACAGAGAAAAAAAAAGGGAGAAUGCCUCUACUCCUAAAGACAGACUCUAGCAUGAAAGUCACAACCUACACCAGCCAAGCCAGAAACACAAACUCCUCACCUCAGAAUUACAAGAAACCUACAAAUCUCGCUUCUUUCUAUAUACUAGUGAGCCACAGACCUCCCUCUUUACGACAACAGCCUCAAGUCGAAAGAUAGUUAAGCUACGACCCCUACGAUGUGCCCUAACCCACUCAUAGUCAUUGAUGCAUGUAUAGGUUACGUGCAAAAAUAUGUAGAGUAUCAGGGUUUGGCUGUGAGAAUGAGUGCUGUUUGUCAUGAGCCUCUCUAUGCUUAUGUGGUGUCUGAUGCGCUGAUAGGCAAAGAGAUAAUAUGAAAGCAAUACUAAAGGGGAAAUUUUGUUAAGUGUAUGUAUAGGGUUUGUGUGAGUGAAGAGCUGUUUGUUAUGAGCUUGUCUGUACAUAUGUGUUGUCUGAUACGCUGAAUAGGCAGAUAUAAUGUGAAAGCAAUGCAAAAAGAGUGCAGUUUUGUCAAGUGAAGGAAAAAAGUGAAUAUUGUGAAAAAGAUUUGUUUGUGGAUUGACUUUGGGGAAAUGUAAUGAAUGCAGUAUGAGAGGGAUGUUUGAUGUAUUGAAUGAGCAAUGCGGUAUUAAUGAAUUUGAGAAUGAGAAGGAAAGGAAGUGAAAACUGUGAAAGAGAUAUGUUUGUGGAUUUGAGAACGAGGAAGAGGAGUGAGGAACAGCAUGUAAAAAAGAAGUUAUAGGGUUUGUGUCGAUAGGAAAGCAAAGCAAAAGUAGCUGUUCAAUUUGGUGACCUAGUUGAAUUUACGGUUAUCCAGUGAAUGCAAAAUGAGAGAUUACAGCCGUGACUACCGAGUGCGAUCUUUGAGUGUAAGUGAUGUGAUGGGAAAGAGUGAAACAGCCACAAAGCAAAGGAAUAAUAACAGAAUGAUCUAAUUUUUGUAAGUGAUAUGAAUGACGAAAAAAGCAAAUCGCCAUUGAAAUAAAGGAGUGAGUGAUAUGAAUGCCGUAAAAAAAAGUCAAUCGUCAAUAAAGUGAAAAAAAAAAAAGUAUAAAUAUCUUCUUAGGGAGGUGUGAAGAUAUAUUAAAUUUGAGGUUCUUAAAAAAAUAUGGCAAUAGCUGCUGUGAUUUUCCUAUAACGUAAAAUAAAUAAUGACCUGGAGAUAGAUACAUAAAUAGAUAGAUAGAUAGGAAGAUAGAUAGAUAUAGAGACAGAACAGAAAGAGAAAAGACAGAACAGAGAGAGUUAGACAGAACAGAGAGAGUAAGGCAGAACAGAGAGAGUAAGGCAGAACAGAGAGAUAACAAAUACAAAAAACUUAUGAUAAAUGUAAUACUCUUAUGAUUCAAACACUCUCGCCUAAAGAAAACGUCCCAAUAACUUGGUCUGGGAGGAGCUGGGAGCGACGCGUACUGGAAACAAGAGACCCUCAACAUAAAUAUUUGUACUGGCGGGGAGUAAGAAAAUAUAUAGAGAUUCCUUUGAGGUAAAUUGCACAAAUAAAUAACCCCCUUUGUAAACGCACGGAGCACAAGAUAAAACGAUAAAUACUGCACGUUCGGACUCGCAUUUCUCGGUCCCUUCUCGAACCUGAGGAAGUGAACACAACAAAUGAGAUUAAGUAUAAAUAAUCAACCUAUAAUUUACUUUUCAAAACGGCACACUUGAAAAAAAAAAAAGGAAAA